UCCUACGGGUGGCAGCAGUGGGGAAUUUUGGACAAUGGGGGCAACCCUGAUCCAGCCAUGCCGCGUGAGUGAAGAAGGCCUUCGGGUUGUAAAGCUCUUUCAGCCGGGAAGAAAUCGCAUCUCCUAAUACGGGGUGUGGAUGACGGUACCGGAAUAAGAAGCACCGGCUAACUACGUGCCAGCAGCCGCGGUAAUACGUAGGGUGCGAGCGUUAAUCGGAAUUACUGGGCGUAAAGCGUGCGCAGGCGGUUUCGUAAGACAGAUGUGAAAUCCCCGGGCUCAACCUGGGAACUGCAUUUGUGACUGCGAGGCUAGAGUAUGGCAGAGGGGGGUGGAAUUCCACGUGUAGCAGUGAAAUGCGUAGAGAUGUGGAGGAACACCGAUGGCGAAGGCAGCCCCCUGGGCCAAUACUGACGCUCAUGCACGAAAGCGUGGGGAGCAAACAGGAUUAGAUACCCGGGUAGUC
rnacentral:rRNA from 1 species